ACGGAGGGGGCGAGUGUUGCUCGGAAUUACUGGGCGUAAAGGGCGCGUAGGCGGCCUGCUAAGUCGAACGUGAAAUCCCGGGGCUCAACCCGAGAACUGCGUCCGAUACUGGCAGGCUUGAAUCCGGGAGAGGGAUGCGGAAUUCCAGGUGUAGCGGUGAAAUGCGUAGAUAUCUGGAGGAACACCGGUGGCGAAAGCGACUUCCUGGACCAAUACUGACGCUCAUGUGCGAAAGCGUGGGGAGCAAACAGGA
rnacentral:rRNA from 1 species